AUGUACCACGCGUACCCUGCGAUCCCCCCCGCGCCGUCCACACCCGCCUGACGGCUGCUCGCUACGUUCUGUUAGCC
rnacentral:sRNA from 1 species